rnacentral:miRNA from 1 species
UCACAGCGAGCUUUGACAG